UACGUAGGGUGCAAGCGUUAAUCGGAAUUACUGGGCGUAAAGCGUGCGCAGGCGGUGAUGUAAGACAGUUGUGAAAUCCCCGGGCUCAACCUGGGAACUGCAUCUGUGACUGCAUCGCUGGAGUGCGGCAGAGGGGGAUGGAAUUCCGCGUGUAGCAGUGAAAUGCGUAGAGAUGUGGAGGAACACCGAUGGCGAAGGCAGCCCCCUGGGCUAACACUGACGCUCAGGCACGAAAGCGUGGGGAGCAAACAGG
rnacentral:rRNA from 1 species